rnacentral:rRNA from 1 species
UACAACUUUCAACAACGGAUCUCUUGGCUCUCGCAUCGAUGAAGAACGCAGCGAAAUGCGAUAAGUAAUGUGAAUUGCAGAAUUCAGUGAAUCAUCGAAUCUUUGAACGCACCUUGCGCCCCUUGGUAUUCCGAGGGGCAUGCCUGUUUGGGUGUC